GGGGAAUAUUGGGCAAUGGACGCAAGUCUGACCCAGCAACGCCGCGUGAAGGAAGAAGGCUUUCGGGUUGUAAACUUCUUUUAAGGGGGAACAGUAGAAGAGGGUACCCCUUGAAUAAGCCACGGCUAACUACGUGCCAGCAGCCGCGGUAAUACGUAGGUGGCAAGCGUUGUCCGGAUUUACUGGGUGUAAAGGGCGUGCAGCCGGAGAGACAAGUCAGAUGUGAAAUCCGCGGGCUUAACCCGCGAACUGCAUUUGAAACUGUGGAUCUUGAGUGCUGGAGGGGCAAUCGGAAUUCCUAGUGUAGCGGUGAAAUGCGUAGAUAUUAGGAGGAACACCAGUGGCGAAGGCGGAUUGCUGGACAGUAACUGACGGUGAGGCGCGAAAGUGUGGGGAGCAAACAGGAUUAGAUACCCUGGUAGU
rnacentral:rRNA from 1 species